rnacentral:rRNA from 1 species
UAGGGAAUCUUCGGCAAUGGACGAAAGUCUGACCGAGCAACGCCGCGUGAGUGAAGAAGGUUUUCGGAUCGUAAAACUCUGUUGUUAGAGAAGAACAAGGACGUUAGUAACUGAACGUCCCCUGACGGUAUCUAACCAGAAAGCCACGGCUAACUACGUGCCAGCAGCCGCGGUAAUACGUAGGUGGCAAGCGUUGUCCGGAUUUAUUGGGCAUAAAGCGAGCGCAGGCGGUUUCUUAAGUCUGAUGUGAAAGCCCCCGGCUCAACCGGGGAGGGUCAUGGGAAACGGGGGGACUAGAGUGCAGAAGAGGAGAGUGGAAUUCCAUGUGUAGCGGUGAAAUGCGUAGAUAUAUGGGGGAACAACAGUGGCGAAGGCGGCUCUCUGGUCUGUAACUGACGCUGAGGCUCGAGAGCGUGGGGAGCAAACAGG